UACGUAGGGUGCAAGCGUUAAUCGGAAUUACUGGGCGUAAAGCGUGCGCAGGCGGUUGUGCAAGACAGAUGUGAAAUCCCCGGGCUUAACCUGGGAAUGGCAUUUGUGACUGCACGGCUAGAGUGUGUCAGAGGGGGGUAGAAUUCCACGUGUAGCAGUGAAAUGCGUAGAUAUGUGGAGGAAUACCGAUGGCGAAGGCAGCCCCCUGGGAUAACACU
rnacentral:rRNA from 1 species